rnacentral:rRNA from 1 species
CCUACGGGAGGCAGCAGUGAGGAAUAUUGGUCAAUGGACGCAAGUCUGAACCAGCCAUGCCGCGUGCAGGAAGACGGCUCUAUGAGUUUUAAACUGCUUUUGGACGAGGGUAAACGCAGAUACGUGUAUCUGUCUGAAAGUAUCGUACGAAUAAGGAUCGGCCAACUCAGUGCCAGCAGCCGCGGUAGUUCGGAGGAUUCAAGCGUUAUCCGGAUUUAGUGGGUGUAAGGGGUGCGUAGGCGGUCGGAUAAGGUAGAGGGGAAAUCCCGGGGCUCAACUUCGGAAUUGCCUCUGAUACUGUUCGGCUAGAGAGUAGUUGCGGUAGGCGGAAUGUAUGGUGUAGCGGUGAAAUGCUUAGAGAUCAUACAGAACACCGGUUGCGAAGGCAGCUUACCAGGCUACUUCUGACGUUGAGGCACGAAAGCGUGGGGAGCAAACAGGAUUAGAUACCCUGGUAGUC